CUCUCCUUUUUAUCACCUCAUAACUCUUUUGCUUUCCAUGAUUUACCUUCAUUUUAUCUAUGUUUCACAGUUGAACCAGAACCAAAAUGCCAUGACUCAUCAUGGAGAUACUGGCUAUGGAAUUUUUUUGGACCAUGUUUUGCACCCUAUUGUGUGGGGCAUGGCAGAGAGAGAGAGAGAGAGAGAGAGGUAGUANNNNNNNNNNNNNNNNNNNNUGGUGGGGCGAGUGGCGAGAGAGAGAGAGAGAGAGAGAGAGAGGGUUUCAAAGAUUUUUGGGAAUAUAUAGCAGUUUUGUAUGAUCAAGUAGCCCUGGGGGUCAGUGUUACAUGUUGUUAACUAAAACAGAAAAAGGAGAUGCAAUGAAGCAGAUGUUUUGAUAUACAUUAUCAAAAAGGUAAAAUGACCAAUUACACAGC
rnacentral:lncRNA from 1 species